rnacentral:rRNA from 1 species
AGAGCGAACGCUGGCGGCAGGCUUAACACAUGCAAGUCGAGCGGGCGUAGCAAUACGUCAGCGGCAGACGGGUGAGUAACGCGUGGGAACGUACCUUUUGGUUCGGAACAACCCAGGGAAACUUGGGCUAAUACCGGAUAAGCCCUUACGGGGAAAGAUUUAUCGCCGAAAGAUCGGCCCGCGUCUGAUUAGCUAGUUGGUGGGGUAAUGGCCCACCAAGGCGACGAUCAGUAGCUGGUCUGAGAGGAUGAUCAGCCACAUUGGGACUGAGACACGGCCCAAACUCCUACGGGAGGCAGCAGUGGGGAAUAUUGGACAAUGGGCGCAGGCCUGAUCCAGCCAUGCCGCGUGAGUGAUGAAGGCCCUAGGGUUGUAAAGCUCUUUUGUGCGGGAAGAUAAUGACGGUACCGCAAGAAUAAGCCCCGGCUAACUUCGUGCCAGCAGCCGC